UCUGUUAUGCCCCGACUGACUGGGGGUGGCAGUAGCGAGCAGCACCGUAGUUUGCUUGAUGGUGAAGUCUGAUCCGACGAAGCAAAGUCAAGUAGCAAAGAUGGCGGUAUCGGUGUUUCCCUGUGUGCGGUUGCGGUCCAUCGGGGACGCGAACGGAGAGAUCCAGCGACACUCCGAGCAACAGCCCUUGAGGUUGGAGGUUAAAAGCACCCCAGACACGGCUCUCCUAAAUCUCUCCAAUAGCGAUGAGACAUCAGUCUUCAAGUGUUCGUUGUCCAGGGAAACGGAAUGCAGUCGUGUGGGGAAACAGUCAUUCAUCAUCACACUGGGCUGCAACAGUGUCCUGCUACAGUUCUCCACACCUGCAGAGUUUACUUCCUUCUAUAACAUUCUGAAGAGUUGCCGGGGCCACAAUGCAGAACACUCCGUCUUCAGUGACAGGACAGAAGAGUCCUCUGCCGUGCAAUACUUUCAGUUCUAUGGCUAUCUCUCUCAGCAGCAGAACAUGAUGCAGGACUAUGUUCGGACCGGAACCUACCAACGUGCCAUCCUUCAGAACCACGGUGACUUUAAGGACAAGGUGGUGUUAGAUGUGGGCUGUGGUUCAGGUAUUCUGUCGUUCUUUGCGGCGCAGGCCGGAGCCAGGAAGGUCUACGCUGUGGAGGCUAGCACCAUGGCCCAGCACGCAGAGGUGCUGGUAAACUCCAACGGAAUGGGGGAUCGUGUGGUGGUGAUAGCAGGGAAGGUGGAGGAGAUCUCUCUACCAGAGCAGGUAGACAUCAUCAUCUCUGAACCCAUGGGAUACAUGCUCUUCAACGAGAGAAUGCUGGAGAGUUACCUACAUGCCAAGAAGUUCCUCAAACCCAACGGUAACAUGUUCCCCACUCUAGGUGACGUCCACCUGGCUCCCUUCACAGAUGAACAGUUAUACAUGGAACAGUUCACCAAGGCCAACUUCUGGUAUCAGCCAUCGUUCCAUGGUGUUGAUCUGUCAUCGCUGAGAGAAGCUGCAGUAGACGAGUACUUCAGACAACCCAUUGUGGACACCUUUGAUAUCCGUAUCCUCAUGUCCAAGUCUGUCAAAUACACUGUCAACUUCCUGGACGCGAAAGAGGGGGAUCUGCACAGGAUGGAGAUUCCCUUUAAGUUCCACAUGAUGACAUCAGGUCUGGUCCAUGGUCUGGCCUUCUGGUUUGACGUGGCUUUCAUCGGCUCAGCGGUAACAGUGUGGCUCUCCACCUCUCCUACGGAGCCUCUGACCCACUGGUACCAGGUCCGCUGUCUGCUCCAGUCCCCUCUCUUCACCAAGGCAGGAGACACCCUGUCUGGCACUGCAACACUCAUCGCUAACAAGAGACAGAGCUAUGACAUCAGUAUGGUGGCCCAGGUGGACCAGACAGGAAGCAAGUCUAGCAACCUGCUGGAUCUCAAGAACCCCUUCUUCAGGUACACAGGCAGCACGUCAGCCCCGCCCCCAGGCUCUCACUACUCCUCCCCCUCAGAGAACAUGUGGAGCAAUGGAGGAGUCUACAACAUGAACCAGGGAGGGAUGCCUGCCGUGUAUGACCUCAGUACGGUCAUCGGUGGCGGAGGCUCCACCGUGUCUCACAACAAUCUCAUCCCUCUUGGUACGCUGUGUGUGUGUGACUGACCAAUCACUACCCUCCUUUCUGUUCUGUAUAGCCCUCAAAUUCAAAUCUGAAUCUCUUAAGCCAGUUUCACUGCUUUUUUUUAAAUGAAUCCCUUCUAAUCAGGGACUGAUUUCCACCUGGGAGACCAGGUGGGUGUAAUGAAUAAUCAGGUAGAAAACCAGCAGUAGUCUAGACGUUCCAGGGACUGAUUUCCACCUGGGAGACCAGGUGGGUGUAAUGAAUAAUCAGGUAGAAAAGCAGCAGUAGUCUAGACGUUCCAGGGACUGAUUUCCACCUGGGAGACCAGGUGGGUGUAAUGAAUAAUCAGGUAGAAAACCAGCAGUAGUCUAGACGUUCCAGGGACUGAUUUCCACCUGGGAGACCAGGUGGGUGUAAUGAAUAAUCAGGUAGAAAACCAGCAGUAGUCUAGACGUUCCAGGGACUGAUUUCCACCUGGGAGACCAGGUGGGUGUAAUGAAUAAUCAGGUAGAAACCCAGCAGUAGUCUAGCCGGUCCAGGGACUGAUUUCCACCUGGGAGACCAGGUGGGUGUAAUGAAUAAUCAGGUAGAAAACCAGCAGUAGUCUAGCCGUUCCAGGGACUGAUUUCCACCUGGGAGACCAGGUGGGUGUAAUGAAUAAUCAGGUAGAAACCCAGCAGUAGUCUAGACGUAACACUGGAACCUGCUGUAUCUGGUUACAACAUACUGGAAAUAUUCCCCAAGUUUUCUAGAAAUUCCAGUUAGAAUAUUCCUGGAAGUCCGUUAUUCGUCCUACCAGGAUUGGUGGAAAGGUUGUGAAAUUACUGGGAUGUUGAAACCCUGACUGUGUGUAAUGUCAGUUGUGUAUCUAUAUGUUGGACUCCAGCUGUAUCUGGAACUGACCUUUUGUAUACUAGUUUUGUAUACUAGUUUUGAUGUGUUUUCUUGUUCCAAAUAAAAUGUGCCAAUUUGUAAAUUA